UACGUAGGGGGCAAGCGUUGUCCGGAUUUAUUGGGCGUAAAGAGCUCGUAGGCGGUUUGGUAAGUUGGGUGUGAAAUCUCCAGGCUCAACUUGGAGGGGUCAUUCGAUACUGCCAUGACUAGAGUUCGGUAGGGGAGUGUGGAAUUCCUGGUGGAGCGGUGAAAUGCGCAGAUAUCAGGAGGAACACCCGUAGCGAAGGCGGCACUCUGGGCUGGAACUGACGCUGAGGAGCGAAAGCGUGGGGAGCGAACAGG
rnacentral:rRNA from 1 species